GCCCCCACUGCCGCCCAGCCCACCCCGGCGCCCGUAGCGAAAAUGGGGGGCUCGGCCCACGCCAAUAUCCGUAGGAUCUCCCCGCGGGGCUUUAUCCUGCUAGAUUUACCAAAAGAGCGACGAACGGUUUAUUUCUCUGUGCAACUCCUUGAAGUGGUUUCCUUCUCCCUCGCCACCCUUAAGCGUACUUAAUAUUGGGACUCGAUUGCCUGUGGGCUUACGACACUGACCAAAAUUCCAUGGAUGGAAAAGCAGGAGAAAAGGAGAAGGAAAAAAAGAAGCAAAGAGUAUCUGUGUUCAACUGAGGAGUGACAAAUAUAUUCUCCUGCCUGUUGCUGGUUCACGUGUUCUGAGAAGAAAUUGAAUGCAUAGACAGAGCACCAGUAUUUUCAGCAUGGAAACCACAAGUCUUGGAAAGAAAGUUUUCCACUGGUUGGUCCUCUCUUCUGCCAAUAUAUGCAUCAUCAUCUUUACUGCUUCUUUAGUGUAUCACAAAUAAGGUGUUUUUUUAGUCAACUUUCCAGGAAAACCAGUUCAGAUAUCCCAUGAAGAUUCUUUUGAUGUUUCCAUUAAAUAAAAUUCACCCUGGAGAAUAUAAGACCAGCAAGAGUUCUUUAAUAUCUAAUUCAUUACGUUAAGUUGGUCAUCUAUAUGGGAAGAAACUAUAUUGCGA